rnacentral:rRNA from 1 species
AUGUUUGCUUCUACAUCAAGGUCUCGCAUCAACAACCUUCGUCUCAGUUUGAUGAACGCACAGAAGGAAAAUCAAUCUGCAGCCACCUACUUCGGCCACAUGAGGUCUCUUGCGGAUGAACUCGCCAUGGCCGGAGAACCCAUCACCGAUGGGCAGCUACUCUCCUUCAUCAUCGUCGGCCUAGAUAUGGACUACCAACCCAUUAUUUCAGCCCUGGACGUCCGCACCGAUCAAGCCUCCGUCGACGAUAUCUUCUCUAUGGUGAGCAACUUCGACCAGCGUGUUGAACUUUUUCAU